GCCAGGUGUGGUGGCACAAGCCUGUAAUCCCAGCAACUUGGGAGGCUGAGGCAGGAGGAUCGUAAGUUCAAAGCCAGCCUCAGCAACUUAGUGAGGCCCUACGCGACUUAAUGAGACCCUGUCUCAA
rnacentral:sRNA from 1 species